GUAUAUUGCAAAUAUUUUUAAUAUGGCGGGCAGCCAAGUUGGUAAUAAUAGGAUUAAUAUUUGAUAAACAAAAGGAAGUAUGAUAUAACCAUUAUCUGUCCCUUAUAUGCCAUUUUUUAUGCUUUCUAUCCAGAAGAUCAUUGGCCAUUUGUUAAAACAAUUAUUUACUAUCACAAUUUGCCUAGAAUGAAGAAGGCGUAACUAUAUAAUGGCCAGUAAGGGUAUCCUUUACUGCUUCUGCUUUGCUGUCCGUCACUCAACUGGAGAGUGACAAAAGUUGGUUGUUCCUUUUUGACUAAUGGGUUCUACCUUAAAUAUUAAGAAGAAAAUGAGAUAUAACAUUGACCUUAAUCUAUUCUACUUGGAUUAAGAAAUCACAGGAAACUAGGAUGGAGAAGAUUUUGUAGUAGUUUCCUGUAUUUUGAAAAAUGAAAUGCCAAAUCUUAUCAUCUAUUAGCUACUUUGUAGAAAACUUGGAUAUUUUCAGAAGAACUUUCUUAAAAGAUGAGACGAUCUUUAAAAAUUGAAUAAAUACCACUAACUGCAGGUUAUUAACCAUUAUGCUUUCCCUUCUUCCUCUUCCCUGUACUUUCCUCCUUCUCCUCUUCCACCCCCCUUUUCUCCUCUUCCUCCUAAUUAUUUUCUUCUUAUCUUCAUCUUUCUCUCUCCCUUUCUCCCUCCCUCUCUUUUUAAUGUUAUUCCACUAAAUUGUCAUGAUAUUUGUCAGGCUUUAUCUAGGAGACUUAAAGUUAUAUGAGGUCCCUCAUGGCCACAAAUUUUAUAUGUUUAAAAUUGGUAACUGCAGCUUUGUGGGAUCGUUUUUAGUUUUAGAAAUGGAAUUUCUUUCCUUUCCCAUGUUUGUUCGUCUCCUUCUCUGUAUUGCUCAUGUAAAUACAUGAUCAGAAAAGCCAGCACUGGCCCAAAUCUUCCACACGGAGAUGAGAAUCGCAUAAUGGAAGUUUGUAAUGAGGUCAGUUCAUGCCUUUUUAAUCCGUUUCUAUUCUUGAGUAACUUAAGUUUCUGAUUCUCCUUAAAACUAGAGAUUGUAACUCAAAUGCACUGAGUAAAGUCCUUGAAAGGGUAGAAUUUAGUGCCUCAAAAAUCAGGGUAUAAUCACAUAAGUUAAAGCUUCUAACAGUUUAAAUAUUUUUAAUUGGUUAAUUUAUGGUUACUGUUCAGUCUUGCUUUUAAGCUUUUAAAUAUCUGUUAUAUUAGUUCUAUCUUUCACUGAAGAAUACAGGGUGUAGAACUUCAAUCAGUAUAGUGACAAAUUAAUACCUAUUGUGUUGUGCUGGGUACACAGAGCUAAAGCCAAAAAUGUCUCCCUAUCUACAAGAGGUUGUGCAGGGUUUUCUUCUGGGAUCAAGUGGCCACAUGGU
rnacentral:lncRNA from 1 species